AUUACUUCUCAGUCUUUUGGCUAAGAUCAAGUGUAAUAUCUGUUCUUAUCAGCUUAAUAUCUGAUAGGCCGUCUAUCGAGCAACAAUAUAUUAAAUGGAUUUUUGGCACUAGAAAAUUAAAUAAGAGCUUGCUCCAUCCAUCCUAUGCAUCAACCUGGUAUUGCAGUACCUCCAGAAAUGGUGCACAACAU